AGAGUGAAGAGCCACGUAAUUGCUUCUCCACUUGUUUCGGAGCAAAGCAGAGUUUGUAGCAAAUGAUGAUAUCUGCUAAAAAGUCACAGAACACGGCAAAUCUCCUGAAGGUUAAUGUUGGAGCUAAACCUAAAUAAUGGGUCCAGAUCCCAGAGAGCAUGAAGAAAGGUGUACCCAUCUAUUUGUGUCGCUAAGGACACCAGGAUGGCUGCACUCUGGCGCACAUUCAUAGAAUCAUAGAAUGUCCUGAGUUGGAGAGGAC
rnacentral:lncRNA from 1 species